GCCGCCCUAGCUCAAUGGUAGAGCAGUUGACUCUUAAUCAAUUGGUUCGGGGUUCGAGCCCCCGGGGCGGCACCA
rnacentral:tRNA from 1 species